rnacentral:tRNA from 1 species
AAAGUUAUAAACUUAAUUGAAAUAAGAUUAUGUCUUGAAAUCAUAAAUAAAGGGUUUAAUUCCCUUAUUAACUUUACACUUAAAUAAACCUUAAAG